ACGGAGGGUGCGAGCGUUAAUCGGAAUCACUGGGCGUAAAGCGCACGUAGGCGGUGUCGUAAGUCGGAUGUGAAAGCCCUCGGCUCAACCGGGGAACUGCAUUCGAUACUGCGAUGCUUGAGUGCCGGAGAGGGUGGCGGAAUUCCAGGUGGGGGCGGGAGUGGCGGGCAGCUGUGGGGGUGGGCACGAGGCGGAGGGAGACACAUGGCUGAGAACUGCUGCUUGGGUGUGCUUGCGUGUGGACCACAAAG
rnacentral:rRNA from 1 species